rnacentral:lncRNA from 1 species
GGGGGCUUGAAUAUAUCGUGAUUUUACCACGGGUUGGCCCUUUAUGACAAAUAUUUUACCCUGAGCGUUAGCGAGGGGUAAAAUAUCGGCAUAAAGGGACAACCCGUGGUAAAAUCUAGAUAUAUUCAAGCCCCCAUGAAUUAUUUCGAUUCUAAUAGGACAAAUACGGCAAUUCUUUUGGAUCAAAGCGCUCUAGGUGGAGGCAAAUAUUUGCCGUUCUCAUAAAUAAACGCACUAUUAAAUUGACGUAAAAGAACGGAGCAAACUGAAUUAGUGACAUGUUGUAACUAUUUAAAAUAACGUAUUUAGAUAGUUUUAGAUAAAUUUAAAUGAUAAUUUACUUAUAUGUCUAACAUGUAUAUAAAAAAAAAGGCUUAUAAC